GGCGAGGUAGCUCAGCAGGUUAGAGCGACGGUCUCAUAAUCCGUAGGUCGGGGGUUCGAGUCCCCCCUUCGCCACCA
rnacentral:tRNA from 1 species